AUGGUUAAGUUAGAAAGGGCGCACGGUGAAUGCCUUGGCACUAGGAGCCGAAGAAGGACGGGACGAACACCGAUAUGCUUCGGGGAGCUGUAAGUAAGCUUUGAUCCGGAGAUUUCCGAA
rnacentral:rRNA from 1 species